GACGAACGCUGGCGGCGUGCUUAACACAUGCAAGUCGAACGGAAAGGCCCUGCCUUUGUGGGGUGCUUGAGUGGCGAAUGGGUGAGUAAUACGUGAGUAACCUGCCCUUGACUUUGGGAUAACUUCAGGUAACUGGGGCUAAUAACGGAUAGGAGCUCCUGCUGCUUGGUGGGGGUUGGAUAGUUUCGGCGGUUGGGGAUGGACUCGCGGCUUAUCAGCUUGUUGGUGGGGUAGUGGCUUACCAAGGCUUUGACGGGUAGCCGGCCUGAGAGUGUGACCGGCCACAUUGGGACUGGGAUACGGCCCAGACUCCUACGGGGGGCAGCAGUGGGGAAUAUUGCACAAUGGGCGAAGGCCUAAUGCAGCAACGCCGCGUGCGGAAUGACGGCCUUCGGGUUGUAAACCGCUUUCGCCUGUAACGAAGCGUGAGUGACGGUAAUGGGUAAAGAAGCACCGGCUAACUACGUG
rnacentral:rRNA from 1 species